CCAUAGCUCAGUGGUAGAGCAUCUGCCUGGCAUGCAGAAUGUUCUGGGUUCAAUCCCCAGCAUCUGGA